GCUCCCGCCGCUCCUCGCGAGGUCCCCGCGCGACUGGACGGAGCCUGCGCCGCAGCCCGCGCUCCCGCCCCAGGAGGAGGCGAGGCGGGGCGCGAACGCGCUCCCGAGCCCCGCGGCUCUGGCAGAGCAGCCUGGAAGGGACACGAUGCGGCCACCGCCCAGCCGAGCACGGUUCCCGCGCGCCUUGAUGCUGCUGGCCGCCCUGCUGGCCACUGGCCGAGGGCUCCCACUGAGGAAGCGAGGUCCCGGGCCCCACGGCCACUCGAGGAUGGCGGAGGCCUCCCCUGCCCCAGAUCUCAGCUCCCCAAAGGAGAAGAACACAACACCAGGAUUCCCUGGAGACCAUCUGCAGACAGAACCAUGUCAGCCCGGGUGCCAGACCAUCCCUGAGCCAGCAGCUCUGACUCUGGGUACAGCCACAUCUCCCAGGACCCUGGAACACACCCCUCUGCUGCUGGAGCUGCAGAAGCUACCAGGGUUGGCCAACACAGACUUGAGCGCACCAAACCCCAACAUCCAGGUGACCAUCGAGGUGGUGCAGGACCCUCAGACUGAGGUAGAGAUGGACCUGCCUUCUGAGCCCAGCAAUCUCUGGCCCCUGCAUGCCCCUAGCUGGUUGCCCACCAAGGAAUUCUUUUGGCCCCUCUUCUGGGGCUACCAGGAAGGUGAAGAAGGAGCCACCAGCCUCAGAGACAGGGCUCCAGGGGAAGCAGAGGUGGAAGGAGGAAAGGACUAUGCUGUGGAGUAUGGCGAGGGUGAGGACCAAAGGGGAACUGAAGAAGGCGAGGCUGAGGAGCCUUGGUCCAGCGGGGCCAUAGACAACUGGGACUAUGGCUGGUUGGGUCCUCAGGAACAAGACUUCCAACAACCAGACAGCUAUGACUGUGAACCCCAGGAGGAGUGGAGCACCUGGUCUCCCUGCAACGGGAGCUGCGGCAGCGGAUACCAGCAGAGAACGCGACCCUGCGGCUAUGCCUGCACUGCCACAGAGUCCCGAGUCUGCGACCUUGCCCCCUGUCCUGGCCUGUCUCAACUGCUGUGGGCACCAAGAGCCUAGUGAGGGCUGGGCUUCCCUAUCGGGAGCACAGAGUGCCCUGGGGCACCACCAGCCUGGACUCCUCUCUUCCCAAAGGCACCGCAGAGGAGAACACGUUGGGCUUUCCCAGUGAGGGGUGGCAGCCCCUUGCCCACAAUGCAACGGAUAUGCUUGAUCCAGAUGUGGACAGCUGUGAGAAGUGGCUGAACUGCAAGAGUGACUUCCUAGCUAACUACCUGAGCCAAGUGCUCAAGGACCUGCCCAGUUGCCCGUGUGCAUACCCUCUGGAGGCAGUGUACAGCGCCGCCGUGAGCCUGCAGGACGAACAUCAGGGUCGCAGCUUCCAGUGGCGGGAUGCGAGUAGCCCACAAGAGCGCUUGGACAUCUACCAGCCUACUGCGCGCUACUGCCUGCGUUCCAUGCUGUCUAGUGAGAGCAGCACCUUGGCUGCCCAGCACUGCUGCUAUGAUGAAGGCAGCCGGUUGCUGACCCGUGGCAAAGGGGCAGGGGCCCCGGACUUAGUCAGCACUGACUUUUCACCUGAGCUUCACUUCAAGGUAGAUAGGCUGCCCUGGAUCCUGUGUAAGGGGGACUGGAGCCGCUACCACACUGUGCGCCCCCCCAACAAUGGCCGGGCUUGCACAGACAACCCACCAGAGGAAGAGUACCUGGCUCAAUUGCAGGAGGCCAAAGAGUACUAAAGAGGAAUUAGAGCAUGCUCCUUCUGCCCUUUACCCUGCCCCUGCUCAGACUGGGCAACUAUUAGGGCUCAUCUGAGAGGCCGUCAGGCAUGCAUAUCUCCCUCUUAUGACCCUGAGUCAGGAGAACUCAAGCGUCUCAGGGUCUGGUGAGAAGGUUGGAGGGUGUGUCAGGCACAAGGCCUCUGGGAUGUGUUGGGAAGGGGAGGAGCUAUCCCAGUUUGGCCAUGGGUCUUUCCCUCUCUCUAGGAAUGGGGCCCUUCUGCCUUUCCCUCUGUUCGGGAUUGAGCCAAGGUGGUCCAGACACAUCCCAGUUCCCAGGAUCUGUUGUGAAUCCCUUAGACCCCCACCCCACCCACCCAUCUACCCUAGGGCCAGUUGUGGAAGAACACAGGGAGGGGUGGGGCAAGAUAGGACAGUCCUUUCAUCUGACCCUAAAGCUGCUUUUUGCUGGGCUGGCAGAACCAGGGUGACCACCCCUCCUUGUGGCACACAGCUUCUACCCUGUCCCAUGUGGUGAGGCGGUCAGCGGAGCUGAGGGGAGAUUGCUUCCAGUCAGGGAACCACCAGCUGUUUCCCGUCCCCAGAUGAUAGACAUGCGCAGGCUACCACCGCCAUGGCAGCCAGGCUUGGGUUGAACUCAGUACUAAGGGUGGGUUCAGGAGGGAUCAUGCACCUGUCGCAAGUGUGACAGGGCAGAGGGUCCCGAUAUUGGAUGUGGGCCAUUUAUGGUGUUGGUACCCACACCAGUUGCCCACUUAACGCCCCCCCGCCCCCCCACCCCGUGUGGCACCCCUGAAAGCACUGGACUUGGACUUGGGAGAUGGGUGCUUUGGCUCCCAGCACACUGUGCCUUUUCCCGGACACCUCUCAUCCCCAAACCAUACUUUCUUGGUUUCUCUGGAGCUGAAAUAUUGUAGACUUUCUGUUUCUAUUCACAAAUCUCCGAUAGGGGCUUGGUAGGGAACUUGAGUUCCAGCCCCAUCCACAGCUGUCCAGAAGCUGUCCUGGGAUCCUCAGCAAUAAAGCACUUUAUUUUUACAUA